GAUGAACGCUGGCGGCGUGCCUAAUACAUGCAAGUCGAGCGAACAGACGAUGAGCUUGCUCCUCUGACGUUAGCGGCGGACGGGUGAGUAACACGUGUAUAACCUACCUAUAAGACUGGUAUAACUUCGGGAAACCGGAUCUAAUACCGGAUAAUAUAUUGAACCGCAUUGGUCAAUAGAAAAAGACGGUUUUGCUGUCACGUAUAGAUGCAUCUGCGCCGCAUUAGCUGGUUGUGAAGGUAACGGCUUACCAAGGCGACGAUGCGUAGCCGACGGGAGAGGGUGAUAGGCCACCCUGGAACUGAGCCGGGGACCAGACUACUACGGGAGGCAGCAGUAGGGAAUCUUAGGCAAUGGGGGAGAGCAUGACGGAGUAAGGGGGCGUGAGUGAUGACGGCCUUGGGAUCGGAAAAACCUGUUAUUAGGGAAGAACCAAUGUGUAAGUAAAUAUACACGUAUUGACGGUAACUAAUAAGAAAGCAACGGCUAACUACGUG
rnacentral:rRNA from 1 species